rnacentral:rRNA from 1 species
AGCGAACGCUGGCGGCAGGCUUAACACAUGCAAGUCGAGCGGGCACUUUCGGGUGUCAGCGGCGGACGGGUGAGUAACGCGUGGGAACGUGCCCUCUGGUUCGGAAUAACGCAGGGGAACUUGAGCUAAUACCGGAUACGCCCUUUUUGUGAAAGGCUGGCUGCAGGAGGAUCGGCCCGUGUCUGAUUAGCUAGUUGUUGGGGUAACGGACCAACAAGGCGACGCUCAGUAGCUUGUCUGAGAAGAUGAUCAGCCACACUGGGACUGAGAAACGGCGUAGACUCAUACGGGAGGCAGCAGGAGGGAAUAUUGGAGGAUGGGGGCAAGACUGAUGAAGACAUGACGUGGGAGUGAUCAAGCCCUUAGGGUUGUAAAGCUCUUUUAUCCGGGACGAUAAUGGCGGUACCGGAAGAAUAAGCCCCGGCUAACUUCGUG